rnacentral:rRNA from 1 species
AUACGUAGGGGGCGAGCGUUGUCCGGAAUGAUUGGGCGUAAAGGGCGCGUAGGCGGCGCGGUAAGUCUGGAGUGAAAGUCCUGCUUUCAAGGUGGGAAUUGCUUUGGAUACUGCCGCGCUUGAGUGCAGGAGAGGUUAUCGGAAUUCCCGGUGUAGCGGUGAAAUGCGUAGAGAUCGGGAGGAACACCAGUGGCGAAGGCGGGUAACUGGACUGCAACUGACGCUGAGGCGCGAAAGUGUGGGGAGCAAACAGGAUUAGAUACCCUGGUAGUCCACACUGUAAACGAUGAAUGCUAGGUGUAAGAGGUAUCGACCCCUUUUGUGCCGGAGUCAACACAAUAAGCAUUCCGCCUAGGGAGUACGGCCGCAAGGUUGAAACUCAAAGGAAUUGACGGGG